CAGCGCCUUUCUCCCUCCCUCCCCGCCCCCAGCAGACCAGGUCCUGGAAGCCAGGACUCUGGAGCUGAAGCCUCCAGAGCACCUACAGGCUGACAGGGUGAGCCGGUUGGGACUCAGGAGACUGGAGAGCCCGUGCAGGUGCUGAGGGGACAGUCGGGGACUCAGCCAGGAGGGACACUGAGCUGGAAGAGUCCUCACCGCCCCUGCCCCCUGCCCUGAAACCAGAGUCCCUGCUUGGCAUGGGCAGGACAGCACGAAGCUAGCCCCUUACCCAGGCUAACGCUGACCCCAAGCCGCUCCUCACCAGGACAAGAUGAGAGUAUCAGGUAUGCUUCACCUCCUGGCCUUUAUCUUUGCCCUGGUCGCCACAUGGAUCUUUAUUAGCAGCUACAUCAGCUUCAACAUGAAAACUCUCCGUCUGCCCCGCUGGCUAGCAGAUUUGGACUCCCAGGCGAUCCCGGUCGUGAGGACCAAGUGUGGUCUCAGCAAGCCCUGCCCGGACAACUUCUUUGCCUUUAAAAUCAGCAGCGGAGCCGCUAACAUCGUGGGCCCCACCAUGUGCUUCGAAAACCUUGUGAUCAUGAGUCCUGUGAAAAACAAUGUGGGCAGAGGCCUGAACAUUGCCCUGGUGAACGGAACCACAGGAAUAGUGCUGACGCAGAAAUGUUUCGACAUGUACUCUGGAGAUGUUAAGCUCCUGGUAAAAUUCCUUAAAGACAUCCCAGAGGGCACUCUGGUGCUAAUGGCCUCCUAUGAUGACCCAGGAACCAAAAUGAAUGAUGAGACCAGGAAGCUCCUCUCCAGCUUGGGCAGUUCCUAUGCAAACCAGCUGGGCUUCAGAGAUAGCUGGGUCUUCUUAGGGGCCAAAGACCUCAAGGAUAAAAGCCCUUUUGAGCAGUUCUUAAAGAACAACCCAGACUCGAACAAAUAUGAGGGCUGGCCGGAGCUGCUGGAGCUGGAGGGCUGUGUUCCCCAGAAGAGGAAAGCGUGGCCGUCCGUGGCUGCACAGUGAGUCCUUAGCCGAGAGACGUUGAUACCAGCCACUGGAGCCCACGGAGGUGGCAGUGUGGUAGACAGAAGGCAGAGCCUGGGUCUGAGUACUGGCUCUCCACUGGCUAGCUGGGUGAGCAGAUGCCACCUCUCUGAGCCAGGAGCUCCCCGGAGUCCAUCUACAAGCCUCUUUGGAGAACCGCCCUCGGUCUACUUGUUCUUAGUUCCCAGAGGCAGAAAAAAGAGGCCAGGAGGUGCCAGAGUUGACAUCACGGCAGGAUGGUUCCUAGCUGCUGACCGCCCAGCUGGAGUGUACAAGCCCCGCUCCCUGUCCCGGGGCUGGACAGCCAGGAGCUACAAUCUACACUCCACGGCUCCCCCAGGAUCAAGCUGGGAGCUGACCUGAAAGUGUCCCUUUGCUUGGGUGUGUCCCCUUCCCUAUCCUGCUCCCCUACCGCUCCCCUACCUGUGUCCUUAAUCACCUGCAUGAGAACACUCCCCCCCAAGUUGGCUUCUUGGGGAAUCCAUCCUAAGAGAGGCAGCGACCAUGGCCAGCCAGGUGGAACUGAGCCUGGGCGAGGAGACAAGACCACCUGAUAGGAAUUGUCAUAAAGAGAGUUCCCGGUGAGGAAAGGCUCAGUGAGGAAGCUGCACUUGCCGCUGCCACACGGGACCUGUAGGAGAAGCCACCUGCUGGUGCAUGCUGGAGAACACGAAGUGGGCCAUGCCCCUCCCGCCUCCCCUCCUCAACCAGGGGCAGGCCUCAGUUGGCACAUCCUCCACAUGAUGGCAGGGAGCCCAAAUGACCAUCAGUGGUACGACCGAAACCUACCAAGGAGAUGACAUUCUAGAGCCAGCCCCUUCUAGCCCCACCCACCCACCCCCGCCCUGCAGGGUGGGCAUCACAAAGUAGCAAAUACCCCUCAGAUGCUCAACACCAUUUUCAGGGCACUGUGGCUACUAUGGAGAGCCCCCCCCAACCCCCCGCCAGCUCAGAAUUAGGCAAGACAGUCUAAGAAAAUGGCUGUAGAGAGUUGGGUCUACAGCCCCCUUAUGAGACUGUUUGCUAGUCCGUCAUUACUCACCUGCUACACAAGAACUGGGUAGGCACUGGGGACACCAUGGUGAAGAAAACCAGAUGCAGUCCCUGCUUAUAGGCCAGGGGGACCCAGCUCAAGAGGCAGUAGGACUUGAUAAAGGCUAUGUUUGUUGGGGGUGGGGGGCAGGAACUGCAGGAUCAAGGGAGGCAUCCCGGAGGAAACAGCGUCUACACUGAGCCUGCGGGAGACACAGGAGUUCACCGGGCAAAGAGGGGAGGGAGGCCAGGCCAGGGAGCAGCAUGGACCAGGCCUGCAAGCUGGAGAGGCCUGGAAGAGGCAGAGGGGGGUAACGAGGGCUGAGUGGGCAGGGGUGACAGGCUUAAGGGUCCUGUGGGCUGGGUGCAGGGGUUCGGACUUUGUCCAGGAGCUGUGGGGACACGUGGAGAGAUUGAAGUUGGGGAAUGACCCGAUCAGGUUUGUAGUUUUUGAAAAUUCCUCCCAGCUGCUGUAUGGAGAAGGGAGUGGAGAAAGGGAGGCCAGUGGAGUAGGCUGCUGCCUCAGCCAGAGCGCUGGCCUUGGACCAGGAGGUGCCCUGGGGAUGGAAAAAAGAGGACCAGUCCCAAGUAUCUUCAGGAAGUAACCCGGACAAGACUGGAGGACGGAUUUUUCUCACCAUCGGGGCGGACAAGCCUUCAGGAGUCUCUGCAAUCUACUCAUGGGCCUCAGAAUUUGGGACUCCUAUUUCCCUAUCCUCUCCCCAUCAGCACACCACUGCUCUCCAACGGGACUGAGGCUGGGGAGGCAAAGGAGGGGGCGGUGCCAAUGUUCGCGCAGCCCCUGCGGGGGCUUUCCAGCAGCUGUAAUUCUGGUCCUCACCAGUAGGUGGCAGCCCAAGAUAGAAAGGGAAAGGUAGCAAGGUUACCCCUGCCCACCCAGUUUGGGGAAGGGUGCUGCGCUUAAUGGACAGGAGGCCUGGGACUUACGAAUGCGCGAUGGAUUUACUAUCACAUUAACAGCAUCACAACAUCAGCACCUGACUUCUAGGGGGAAUUGUGGUUGUAUGCUCUGUGCAGGGGUUUAUAUGAAUUUCAUCCUCAUAGCCCCAUGUAGUGGCCCAUUGUUGUCUCCUUUUACACUGGAGGAGAAUGAGGCUCAGAGAGGCCAAGAGACUUGUCCAAAGUCACACAGCUAAGAAGCCUCAGAUUAAGGGUCGGAAUCCCAGCCUAUCUACAUCACUCCAGGAAACACCCUUCAGAAAUACUUGCCCUGAAACCACUCCGGGGUGAACAAUGUUUUCUCCCUCCCCCUCCCCUUCCUCUCCCACACCCACUCCUUCUCCUCUUCCUCCUCCUCCUCAAUGCCUCUGGAGACAUUUGAAAAUUGCUCAGAGCCUCUGAGUCAACGUUCUCAAAACCUUCCCCCAUUUUGUAAGCCUUGCUUCCCUCUCCAAGAUUGCAGGUCAAGAAGGAGCAGGUGUUUAUGUCCAUUUCACAGAUGGAGAAAGGCUGCAAGCUGUGCCCAGGCCACACAGUGAGACAAGGCAAAGCUGGAUCUUGACCCCACACAACCAACUGUCUUUUCAUAAAUCAUCUGUGUCUGCAUCCCAAGCCCCUCCUUGGUGCCAGGCCUGUGCUAGGCUCUGGAGCCACCACCCCCAUUCCUGCCUAUGGCAUGGGGUCCAAUUCUUGCAUUGCAGACCCACAUCCUGCCAGGAGCUGGGCUUCGGACCUUCAGCCAAUCGAGGGCUCCAGUCAACUAGGCUUUUAGUGAAGCUCAUAAGUCAUAUUUCAGCAGGACUCCCAGCAGAUGGGGAAAAAUUAAUAAAUGGGUAAAAUUCCUUUUCUCUCCUCCCAUCCCACCAAGAGCCAAGCUGGUGGAUAAUUGUGGGAUGGCUGCCAAAGGAGUUUGAUCUUCAGGGUUGACGUAUGGCAUUUUUACUGCUCUGGCUGACAGUCAACUUAGUCACUGCCCUUUACAAUUUUGUGGAUGCUCUCCUUACUGCAGGAAAUCAGAAGUGUACCCCAGCCAUGACUGAAACAGGGAGAAAGGGAAUGGGGGGGCCGCUGAGGCAGGGUCUGGACCCAGGAGAAGGAGCAAAGGGAGAAGCCACAUUUUUGCUUGCCCGGAGGGGAGAGAACUAAUACUUGCCAUGCAGGGAGCUCUUGCAACGAGCUAGGGCUGUGUUAGACACUCUACAUACUUAGACUAUUUCAUUUCAUCCCCCAUCAUGUACUCACCCACUCC